AACUUUUUUAAAAAAAUUAAAGUAUGACGUAUGAAGUUGUAGCAAUGUCUAAAGUAUACUUAUUAAGGGUGUGUUUGGAAUGAAGAAUUUUUUUUUCAAAAAUAUUUUUCUUAAAAAAAUAGAAAAUAUUUUCCAUUUUUUUCAAUUUUUAUUUUCAUAACUUUUUACUUUUUUUUUUUUUUGCUUUCUUUUUUCCUUUUUCGGUUCUUUCUUUUUGCCUUUUUUCUCUCUUCUAUCUUUAAUUUCUAUUUCUCUAUUUUCUUCUUUUUUUCCUUUUUAAAUUUUUCUUUCUCAUUUUUUUUAUAUUUUUUCUUUUUCUCCCCCCCUUUUUUUUUUUUUUUUUUUUUUUCUUUUUUUUUUUUCUUUCUCUUCUAUCUCUAACUUCUAUUCCUCUUUAUUCUUUUAUUUUUUUUUAUAUUUUUUUCUUUCUUCUUUUCUAAUUAUUUUUGUACUUUUGAAAAAUAUUAUUACGUCGAGCACAAAAAAUACCACAAUCGCUUAUUGUAUUUUUAUGUGCACCAUCAUUUAUAUUUUUAUAUUCAUUGACACAAUUGUGUUUGUAUUUUAUAGUUUGCACUUGUAUGAGUAUUUUUAUUUUAUAGUUCAUGCUAUUAUUUAUAUUUUUAUAUUUAUUGAUAUAAUUGUAUUUUUAUUUUAUAGUUCAUGCUAUCAUUUAUAUUUUUAUUUUUAUCGAUAUAAUUGUAUCAAAUAUGAUAAAUGUUUAUAAAACUUGAACUAUCUAAAUACAAAUGGUUCUUGUUUAUAUACAAAUACAAGUGAUAAAUUUGAUAUACAAAUACUAAUGAUACAUUUGUAUAAAUGAUGUGUGCAUAUUUGUAUAUUUUAGACUCAAACAAAUACAAUAAAUUCAUACACUUGUUUGUGUACAAAUACAAAUAAUAAGUUAUAAAUAUUUACAUUUAAACUAUUCAAAUACAAAUAAUAAAUUUAUUUGAAGUAUAUAGUAUGAUAAAAAUAAACAUAAAAUACAACAAAAAAAUGAGAGAAAAAAAUAUAAAAAAAAUGAUAAAAAACGAAUAAACGGACAAAGCAAAAUGAAAAAUAAAAUACAAAAAGGGGGAAAAUGACAAAAAAUGUAACAAAAUGAAAAAAAUAAAGAAAAAACAAAAAUGCAAAAAAAUGGAAAAGAAAAAAUGAGAACGAAAAAAGAAAAAAAAGGAAAAGAAAAAAAAAGAGAAAAAGAGUAAGUUAAGGGAGAAAUAAAAAAGAGAGGUUAUGGAGUGUAUUUAAUUAGCAAGAGAGCCUAUGGAUUGUAAUUAAUCAAAACUUAGGCUAAAUUAAAUAAUUAAAAACUUAUGUUUGCUAAGUCAUUUAGUUUUUUCUUGUAAUAUAAGAGUAUUUUUGUCUUUACAUAAUAAGGCGUAACGGAUAAUAUGGAUAUCUAUAUUAUCCAUUGGGUUUAUCCAUUUUAUUCAUAAACAAAUAUGGGUUGGGUUGGAUAUUUUAUCCAUAUUAACGACCCACUUUUAACCCGCCCAUAUUCGACUCAACCCUUCCGUUUGCCACCCCUAGCUGCAUACAAUACAUCCUUGUGGUGGGGUCCUUCCUUAUAUCCUGCGCAUAGCGGUAGCUUUAGUGCUCUGGGUUGCCUAAGUUAGUGAGCUAUGGGGAGCAUCCUUGGUGGUUUUGACCCUCUGUCAUUCUCCAGAAUCUAAUACUAACUCAAAUGGUUUUUUCCCUUUUUUAAAUUAGAGAUACCUCUCUAUUUUUCUUCUCUUGUUACUCUUUCCAUUCAGUUUAUGCUUAUCCAGCUGUGAAGAUUAUCGUAUGUGGAAGAUCAAUCAGACAUUUUUCCGCUGAGCUGAAGAAAACCGCAUUUCAGCGUGGAAGCUGCUACGAAGAAGGAACUAGUAUAACUCCAACAUAGGGGAUUCUAGCUCCGCCCCUGGUGAUGGUGAAACUAGAGCCCAUGACAACUGCAUCAACUGCGAAAUGAUUACUGUCGAUACUUCUGUGGUGUAGCUGCAAGAAGUCAAGAAGUUGCCAUUUGCAAUAGUUAUAUGCAGAAAGAAAUUCAAUCAUGCUGUGUAGGCUCUAAAUACUAAGCUAAUUGACAGGUCAUUAUGUGUCGGUGUUACUCAAUUGCAGGAAUCACAAGGAUUUGAGGAUCGAUUCAUUGUCCAGGAUAAUUUUGAGGAUACAAUCUAUGGAGAGAACAAGAAAACACAGAGAGAUGGGUGUGUUUGGUAUGAUGGAAAAUGUUUUCCUAGAAAAUAAGUUGAUUUUCUGCUUAUUUUCUCAUGUUUGGAAAAUAUUUUCCAAAAAAUAUUUUAUGGUGUGUUUGGUUGAUGAAUAGAAAAUAUUUUUCUAAAAAAUGUUUUUAGUUGUUUGAGUGGUGAGAGGAAAAAAUAUUUUUUUGAAAAAUACUACUUAACAAUUAACUAGUAUAUCAAACAACUCAACAUUUUGUCGGUACUAAUUUAAGCAUAGCAAAUAAUAUUAAUAUCGAGUAUCAAAAUAUUAUAAGAAGUUAAAAUUUAAGCAACUAAUACCUACAUAAUUCAAGCUUCCUAAUCAAUGCUCACAAAUGCACAAAAGAGAAAUUUGAAAGUAAAUACACGAUAUACUAUCCAAAACAAAAGAACGGAGAGAAGUUUGUAAGCAAAUACACGAUAUAUUAUAAAAAACAAAAGCGUGCGAAUAAUAGUUGCUUCUAAAUCCUAUGAAGCUAAACCAACCAAAUUGGUGUCACUAUUGUUGUUGCUUGAAUCGUUGCAACCACACCUUACGAAGAUUUUGAUUUUUGACCAUGAAUGCCUUAGCUAGAGUGUUGCUUUGCACCAAAUAAUCAAAAGCAUCACCGAGGAACUCUUUAUUAUAACCUUCCAUUGCGAUAACUUCUUGAUACAACUUUGUCACAUCUAGAUGACUAUCAAUCAUUCUACCGGUUACCGUUGUCACUUCUCCAAACUUUAUUGAUAUAUCACCUACGACAUCUUGCACUUCAAAAGAACGUUUUCUUUUGCGACUUGCCUUGAUUUGAGAAGCUUCGGUUACUUGCACAUCCUUUUCGAUGGAUGGUCCUUCAAGGUCAUUAUCAUUAUCUUUCUUAGAAAAACUAUCAAAAUCUAUAUCUUCGAAUGAUGUAGCACAAUCUCCCUUAUCCCGAUCAUUUCCACACACAAGAGACAUUUUGUCAAACAUUUCAAUAUUUUUGUUGACGAACUUGUCAUAAUUGAGAUAUGCCUACAAUACAAAGAGUAGAAAUGAGAUAGAGAGGCUGUUUCCAAAAGACUCCCGGCUCAAAAUAGAACAAUGCUCAAUAUAAGACAAUCUAGACAAGGCAUAGUCAAAGGAUAAAAUAUCAUAAAAGAUCAGGCAUAGUCAAAGGACAAAAUAUCAUAGAAGAUAAGGCAAAGGAUAAAAUAUCAUAGAAAUCAAUAUAUCCAAUAAUAUCAUAUAGAAGAUACACCAAGUAGUACAACAAAAGAUACAACGUCCUCAACUCAACCUCCUAAUGGCAAGCAACAAAGCAAAUAGGUCACAAACAUAGUGCAAAAUUAUUAGCGAUAAGUUUCUCCCAGUGAUAAAUGGUUCAUUUGAAGUUUGUUAACUCUUGAGAAGUGUGAAAGAACAUAUUUCUGCACUAAAGAAAGAGUGCAGAGGGUCAAUUUUAACUACUUGCAAGACAAAUGAAGAAAGGUUGCAAGGUGCUAUAAAUACUUCACUCCAGAGUGCAGAUGCAUAAUUCCAACUUACACCUACAGGCUGAUUACUGAAGUGAAAGAUCCCUGUCGUUAAACUCAAUGUAAAAGCAACUGACAAUGCUCGACCACACAAGAAAAGAGAAAGCAGAAGAGAAAAAAUGGACACAAUUGAGAGGACAAUGUGAUGCAUUGUAAUAUUCUUUCCUUUUCACUAGUAAAUAGGAGUAUCUACAGCUACUGAGCUACCUGUAUCUUCGUACUUGCAAUUGAUUAGAAGUUCAUAGACAA